rnacentral:rRNA from 1 species
CCUACGGGAGACAGCAGUGGGGAAUAUUGCACAAUGGGGGGAACCCUGAUGCAGCGACGCCGCGUGAGUGAAGCAGUAUUUCGGUAUGUAAAGCUCUAUCAGCAGGGAAGAAAAUGACGGUACCUGACUAAGAAGCCCCGGCUAACUACGGGCCAGCAGCCGCGGUAAUCCGGAGGGGGCAAGCGUGAUCCGGAUUUACUGGGUGUAAAGGGAGCGCAGACGGAUGUGCAAGUCUGGAGUGAAAGGCGGGGGCCCAACCCCCGGACUGCUCUGGAAACUGUAAAGCGGGAGUGCAGGAGAGGUAAGCGGAAUUCCUAGUGUAGCGGUGAAAUGCGGAGAUAUUAGGAGGAACACCAGUGGCGAAGGCGGCUUACUGGACUGCAACUGACGUUGAGGCUCGAAAGCGUGGGGAGCAAACAGGAUUAGAUACCCUGGUAGUC